CUGGGUGAGGGUUGUGGUACCUGAGACUGAUUUCAGGGUGAGGAGAUCCUCAAAAUCGGGGGGAUCCCCAAAAUCUGGGGGAGGUCCUGGCCGAUUUUGGGGUGAAGGGGGUCCCCAAAAUCGGGGGGGAUCCCCAAAAUCUGUGGGGAGGUCAUGACCACCUGGGGGAGGUGCUGGGUGAAGGAACAGCCAAGGGAAGAAGGGGCACCCCAAAUUUUGGGGGAGCUCCUCAAGAUUUGUGGGGGGUCCCCAAAAUUUUUUGGGGUACCUUGGGAGGGGUUCCUGAUACUGGGGUGGGGGCUUUGUGGGUUUGGGGGGGAAACUGAAGCCCCCUCAACAUUUGUCUCUCCCUCCACAGUGCCUCAGUGAUGGUGACAAAAAAUGGCCGGCGCCAUCCUGCAGAGCCGUGGUGGUGAGGAAGAAGAGUGUGUGGGUGACGAAGGCCCGCUGAGCCCCCCAAAAAUAAAGAAUCUGAGCAAUC